CCUACGGGGGGCUGCAGUGAGGAAUAUUGGUCAAUGGACGCAAGUCUGAACCAGCCAUGCCGCGUGCAGGAAGACGGCUCUAUGAGUUGUAAACUGCUUUUGUACGAGGGUAAACUCACCUACGUGUAGGUGACUGAAAGUAUCGUACGAAUAAGGAUCGGCUAACUCCGUGCCAGCAGCCGCGGUAAUACGGAGGAUUCAAGCGUUAUCCGGAUUUAUUGGGUUUAAAGGGUGCGUAGGCGGUUUGAUAAGUUAGAGGUGAAAUCCCGGGGCUUAACUCCGGAACUGCCUCUAAUACUGUUAGACUAGAGAGUAGUUGCGGUAGGCGGAAUGUAUGGUGUAGCGGUGAAAUGCUUAGAGAUCAUACAGAACACCGAUUGCGAAGGCAGCUUACCAAACUAUAUCUGACGUUGAGGCACGAAAGCGUGGGGAGCAAACAG
rnacentral:rRNA from 1 species